UUCAUAUAGUUUAAAUAAAACACUUUACUUUCAUUAAAAAGAAGAUUUUAAAAUCUGUGAAA
rnacentral:tRNA from 1 species